GCUACCACGCUUUCGCUCCUCAGCGUCAGUGCCGGCCCAGACCACCGCCUUCGCCACCGGUGUUCCUCCUGAUAUCUGCGCAUUUCACCGCUACACCAGGAAUUCCGUGGUCCCCUACCGGACUCUAGCCAUAGCAGUCUCGAGUGGCGUCUCCAGGUUGAGCCUGGAGGUUUCACACCCGACUUGCCAAGCCGCCUACGAGCUCUUUACGCCCAAUAAAUCC
rnacentral:rRNA from 1 species